UACGAAGGGUGCAAGCGUUACUCGGAAUUACUGGGCGUAAAGCGUGCGUAGGUGGUGAGUUAAGUCUGUCGUGAAAGCCCCGGGCUCAACCUGGGAAUGGCGAUGGAUACUGGCUCGCUAGAGUGCGGUAGAGGAGAGUGGGAAUUCCCGGUGUAGCAGUGAAAUGCGUAGAGAUCGGGAGGAACAUCAGUUGCGAAGGCGGCUCUCUGGACCAGCACUGACACUGAGGCACGAAAGCGUGGGGAGCAAACAGG
rnacentral:rRNA from 1 species